rnacentral:rRNA from 1 species
GACGAACGCUGGCGGCGUGCUUAACACAUGCAAGUCGAACGGAAAGGCCCUGCUUUUGUGGGGUGCUCGAGUGGCGAACGGGUGAGUAACACGUGAGUAACCUGCCCUUGACUUUGGGAUAACUUCAGGAAACUGGGGCUAAUACCGGAUAGGAGCUCCUGCUGCAUGGGGGGGGUUGGAAAGUUUCGGCGGAUGGGGAUGGACUCGCGGCUUAUCAGCUUGUUGGUGGGGUAGUGGCUUACCAAGGCUUUGACGGGUAGCCGGCCUGAGAGGGUGACCGGCCACAUUGGGACUGAGAUACGGCCCAGACUCCUACGGGAGGCAGCAGUGGGGAAUAUUGCACAAUGGGCGGAAGCCUGAUGCAGCAACGCCGCGUGCGGGAUGACGGCCUUCGGGUUGUAAACCGCUUUCGCCUGUGACGAAGCGUGAGUGACGGUAAUGGGUAAAGAAGCACCGGCUAACUACGUG